rnacentral:rRNA from 1 species
UUUGACACGGACUACCGAGGCUUUGUGGUAUGCUCUCAAAGAGUCGAGUUGUUUGGGAAUGCAGCUCAAAAUGGGUGGUAAAUUCCAUCUAAAGCUAAAUAUUGGCGAGAGACCGAUAGCGAACAAGUACCGUGAGGGAAAGAUGAAAAGAACUUUGGAAAGAGAGUUAAACAGUACGUGAAAUUGCUGAAAGGGAAACGCUUGAAGUCAGUCGCGUUGGCCGGGAAUCAGCCUUGCUUUUGCUUGGUGUACUUUCUGGUUGACGGGCCAGCAUCAGUUUUGACCGGUGGAAAAAGUUCAGGGGAAUGUGGCAUCUUCGGGUGUGUUAUAGCCCUUGUUCGUAUACAUCGGUUGGGACUGAGGAACUCGGAUGCUG